CGCUCCGGUGGCCUAGUGGUUAGAGCGUCCGCCUGGGUUGCGGCAAUUCGUGGAAUCUAUCCCCACUCGAGUGA